rnacentral:rRNA from 1 species
GAUGAACGCUGGCGGCGUGCCUAACACAUGCAAGUCGAGCGAUUCUCUCCGGAGAAGAGUGGCGGACGGGUGAGUAACACGUGGGAACGUGACUUUAGGUUCGGAAUAGCUCCUGGAAACGGGUGGUAAUGCCGAAUGUGCCCUUCGGGGGAAAGAUUUAUCGCCUUUAGAGCGGCCCGCGUCUGAUUAGCUAGUUGGUAAGGUAAUGGCUCACCAAGGCGACGAUCAGUAGCUGGUCUGAGAGGAUGACCAGCCACAUUGGGACUGAGACACGGCCCAAACUCCUACGGGAGGCAGCAGUGGGGAAUCUUGCGCAAUGGGCGAAAGCCUGACGCAGCCAUGCCGCGUGGAUGAUGAAGGUCUUAGGAUUGUAAAAUCCUUUCACCGGUGAAGAUAAUGACUGUAGCCGGAGAAGAAGCCCCGGCUAACUUCGUGCCAGCCGCCGCAGUAACAC